rnacentral:rRNA from 1 species
AUCGAACGCUGGCGGCAGGCCUAACACAUGCAAGUCGAGCGGAUGAAGGGAGCUUGCUCCUGGAUUCAGCGGCGGACGGGUGAGUAAUGCAUAGGAAUCUGCCUGGUAGUGCGGGAUAACGUCUGGAAACGGGCGCUAAUACUGCAUACGUCCAGAGGGAGAAAGUGGGGGAGCUUCGGACCUCUCGCUCUCAGAUGAGCCUAGGUCGGAUUAGCUAGUUGGUGGGGUGAAGGCCUACCAAGGCGACGAUCCGUAGCUGGCCUGAGAGGAUGAUCAGUCACACUGGAACUGAGACACGGUCCAGACUCCUACGGGAGGCAGCAGUGGGGAAUAUUGGACAGUGGGCGAAAGCCUGAUCCAGCCAUGCCGCGUGUGUGAAGAAGGUCUUCGGAUUGUAAAGCACUUUAAGUGGGGAGGAAGGGCAGUAAGUUAAUACCUUGCUGUUGUGACGUUACCAACAGAAUAAGCACCGGCUAACUUCGUG